rnacentral:tRNA from 1 species
GGACACACGUAGAAAUAUCACUUAGACAGACUCAUAAUCUGGAGGUCCCAGGUUCAAGCCCUGGCUGGUCCA